rnacentral:rRNA from 1 species
UACGGAAGGCAGCAGUGGGGAAUAUUGCACAAUGGGCGCAAGCCUGAUGCAGCCGAUGCCGCGUGUAUGAAGAAGGCCUUCGGGUUGUAAAGUACUUUCAGUCGUGAGGAAGGUGUUAAGGUUAAUAACCUUAGCAAUUGACGUUAGCGACAGAAGAAGCACCGGCUAACUCCGUGCCAGCAGCCGCGGUAAUACGGAGGGUGCGAGCGUUAAUCGGAAUUACUGGGCGUAAAGGGCACGCAGGCGGUUAAUUAAGUUGGAUGUGAAAUCCCCGGGCUUAACCUGGGAAUGGCAUUCAAGACUGGUUAGCUAGAGUCUUGUAGAGGGGGUUAGAAUUCCAUGUGUAGCGGUGAAAUGCGUAGAGAUGUGGAGGAAUACCGGUGGCGAAGGCGGCCCCUGGACAAAGACUGACGCUCAUGUGCGAAAGCGUGGGGAGCAAACG